CCUCUGUUGUGAUUCCACCUACCCCCCAGACAGGGGCAAUCCAGGAUAAAGAGAAGACGGUGCCAGAGUCAUGCCAGCCGGGAUUGUUCUCUCGCCCUGGAUUCACUACAGAACUAAGAGUCCCCCAUGCUGGUCCUCUCAGGCCAUCUGGAGUUGGGAAAAGCAGACGGAAGCAAGGCCAGGCCCCCUGUCGACGCCAGAAUGAUCUAAAACAUACAUCAGAUGACUUUACUCUUCGGCUCAAAGUCCUCAAAUGGCUUCUAUCACAUUAAGAAGAAAGGUAAAGGUUCUCAUCCUGGCCUACGAGGCUCCAGAACAAGGGUCAGCAAGCUGUAGCCCUCUGGCCACAUCCAGCCCACUGCCUGUCUUUAUCAAUAAAGUUUUAGUGGAACAAAGUCAGUUUGCUGACUCCUGUCUCAAAGGACCCGGACACUGCCUCUCCCCAGACUUUAUUUCUCCUCGUUCCCCCUUGUACACUCCCUCCAGCCACACUGCACAGCCUGUGAUUCCUGCAAGUACCCAGCUCACUCCCACCUAGGACCAUUGCACACUCCGUCCUCCCACCAUCCUCCUCCCUCACUUUUAACACAGCCCACUCCUCCCUGUCCUUCUGGCUUCUUCUCUGAUAGCACCUGCUCAUGGGGUCCUGCCUGACCCCUUACAAUAGCAACCAGGCAAGCUCUUUAACCCCUUCUCCCCUCAUUCGUCUCCAACUGAAAUGAUAGCACAGAUGCUAUUUAUUUCCGUGUUUCCAGUCUUGCCUCUUAUUAAGGUCUGUGAGGUCUUGGAAGUUUUGUAUUGAGAGACCUGGAGUGGUCUCGGUACGUUGAGACAAUCUUCUCUUCGCCUGUGCCUUCUGUGUCCCUCUUUUUUAAGCUGACGAGAGCCCUCCUGGGGAGGAAAUUUUCAAUUUUUGGCCUCAGCCCCAAAGAGAAUAUACUUCCAUGAGAUUUUCAAGAUCGCUUUAUGGCUGAGGAUUUGAAUUUUUGCAUUUGAGGGUCAAGGACAAUAGUGGUAUUAUUAUGGCUUUUUAAAAAAACACUUCAAGCAAAUUCCGGUCAUCUCUGGGAGGCAAACUUUGAACAUCUCGGCAGUCCCCAAGGAGAACAAUCUUCUGUAACUUUGAAGCCAAAUGGGAUUUCUGAAAAGGAAGCUACAGUCAAUUGAAAACUCUCAGUGGAGCGUGAAGGGCAGAGGAGUCCCCGCGGUGGGCCGCAGCUGAGCUCGCCCAGGCUGGACGUGCCCUUCCCGGCUGGAGAGAGACCGCACAGACAGCACAGUAGGCAUGCUGGAGGCUGCACAGGCCUCCGACCCGAACCUCUGCUCGGAGACCAGCUCAGAAGACCAAGUAUUUCUUCCUCGAUCUUUGCUAUGGGCUUGGCUGUUUUCAAAUGACUUUAGGUGACUAAGACAGAAAAGACAGGCAAAAGAAAAACAAAGUGAGACUCUGCCCACCUUCUCCCCAGCAGAGAUGCUCUGGGAUAUAGCAGAAACAAAGAGGCACCAUGCUACAGUCUUGUCUCCCGAAAAGCUCACCUGGAUGUGGUUCCAAUCCAGGAUGGUUCCAAUCUAGAAGUCCUACCAAACUUCAGGGGCUGCUGUGCAGAAGGAAGAAGAGAACUGUUGCUGAGUCAUGGAGGACAGCAGGGAGGGAGAGGAAUUGGUGGGAGAGGAGCUGUGGCAACCAGGGGUAGAGUGAUGCUCCCGGGCAGGCUGGACCCACUGCCCCUGCUGGGGGCUUCAAAUCAUUGACCUUUCAGCAGAGGAGGGCACGGAGGCUGGUGCUGCCUCAGGCUGCCUCCACGGUACAGGAAGAAGGCAAGGAGAAGAAAGAACCCUGAUCCCAGAGCAACAGCUUGAGGUCUCCCUAAGUGCACGCCGGUCCACACGGGUGCCAACCUCACGUUCUGAUGCACCCUUCCCGUGGCUGCCAGAAAAUCUCUCGAGGUGGAAAUCUGCUCACAUAUCUCCCUGCCCACCGUCCACCAGGGGCUCCUGCCUGCCUGGGGGGAAAAAACCCCUGUCCUUAUCUGGGUGAACCAGGGCCCUCCAUACUCUGUCCUGCCCGGAAGCACAUUUCUCUCCCUCCCCUCCAGUCUUACAGCCCAAGUCCCGUCACGCCAACCUUCUCUGCCUUCGGGGAACGCAGUAUAUCCUUCCCAAACUUCUCCCUUUGCACAUGCUGUGCCCUCUUUCUGGAAUGCCCUUCCCUUCUGCCUUGGGCAAGGGCAGAGGUGGCGGGGAGGAGGUUUGGAUAUCCCAUGGAGUUUGGGCUGGAUCCUUUUGUCAUGUGACAAAGCUCCUAUAACACACCAGUCCUUUUCAGGACACCACCGACUCUUGAUACUUUUAAGAGACAGCCCUCUUUGAUACAGGACUGCCACAUUCCUUAGGCACACACAGCUCUCGGCACAUAUAUGAUGUUUGUAAUAAAACACAUUUCCAAGUUGUUCA